rnacentral:rRNA from 1 species
UACGAAGGGGGCUAGCGUUGCUCGGAAUCACUGGGCGUAAAGGGUGCGUAGGCGGGUCUUUUAAGUCAGGGGUGAAAUCCUGGAGCUCAACUCCAGAACUGCCUUCGAUACUGGACGUCUUUGAGUCCGAGAGAGGUGAGUGGAAUUCCGAGUGUAGAGGUGAAAUUCGUAGAUAUUCGGAAGAACACCAGUGGCGAAGGCGGCUCACUGGCUCGGAACUGACGCUGAGGUGCGAAAGCGUGGGGAGCAAACAGG